CCUCCCUUAAUAGCUAUAUUUAUGGACCGAACUACUUUAGAUCCUCAUCUCCAGCACUCUACUUCAAUGCCAACAGUAUGCCAGUGAAUAUCUAUGAAGCAAAUAAAUACUAUGCCAGACACUUUUUUCUCCUUUCUAGACUUGAGCUUAGCCUCCAACUUCUCGUUAUUUUUUGAUUAGUUUGUUCAUGAGGUCUAUUAUACAUAGUGAUGGAAGGAGAUU
rnacentral:lncRNA from 1 species